AUAGAUAGAUAGAUAGAUAGACUCAUAGGGAUGAUAUUUGGCCCAGAGGUUUUAUUAGGUUUUGGGGAACAGUUGUUCAGGGGCCAGUGUUUAGAGAUCAGGGACUGAGGGAGUUAGAGAGAGCGAUGGAGGGAUUGAAGGCAGGGUUGAUCUGCUGCAAGGGAGUCUUCCUGUGCACAUCAGGAGAGGACUCAUUACUCACACUUGAUAAAGCCAUCCAAGUCACCUUCUGGACUCUCCAUGGACAGUCCCACCCGCUCAUCCCAGCUGUGUACAUUGGCCCAAGCCAAGACAAGACCGGGUGUGAUUCUCCUGUCUGGGAAGAACAUCACCAGGGACAUACAAAAAGCCAGCGUUUGCAGUAGUGCCUCAGGGGCAACAAGGGCAACGGAGAAGGGUCUCUUUGUGUGCUGGAAUCAUGGACGUUUUGGCUGGGAUUGGCUGGUUAAAAGGAGCAUUUUCCAGAUGCCUCAGCAUUUCCUGUUUUUGGAGUAAAUCAACCACAAAGGAGUUUAGUAAAUAAGCAGCGCAAAGGUGGGAAUAAGACUACAUUCAUUAAAAUUUAAAGAGGAGAGACAAGAGGAGGAUCGGAUGGCACUCUCACAGUGUCAAUCGGAUCCCCUGGAUUGGGACGGUAGAGGAGGAGAGUUCUCCAGGGGCCGCCAGCCGCUGCGCCAGGAUCAGCAGGUUUGGCUGGCCAGAGGCAGCAUCAGCAGCAUACAGAAGAGGAGAUGAAGUCCUGGUGGCCUCUUGCCAUCCUUUUGUGCCAACUAAGAAGCCUUUGUUAUGAGGAAGGAGUUUGGGUGCGGAUAUUUGCCUAUAGCAGAUGCAGAAGAUAUUUUUUGGGGUUUUAUUUGGAGAACUUUAGAUACAUUUAGUUAAUUCAACAACUAGACUAACAGUCUACGGCCAUGCUAGCCUAAAUGUUGCUAAAUGCUUACAUUGGCAUGCUAACAUGCUCACAAUGAGAAUGUUAACAUGCUGAGGUAAAGCAGGUAAUAUUGACAAUCUUCACCAUCUUUGUUAGCAUGCUUGUUUUGCUAUUUGGUUAAAAUUGAAAAUUUCAAAAUUCUAACCACUAAUGUUUCAAUAAUAAAUCUUAUUGUUCCCUUUAAAUUCUGUGUAGCCUGUCUGUAUACAUGUAA